AGAGUGUGUUGUUCUGCCAUAGCAAUUGCUCUGUUUGUGUGUCUGUGGAAAGUACUAAAUUGGGUUUGGCUCAAUCCGAAGAAGUUGGAGAAUUUGUUGAGGAAACAAGGGCUAAAUGGGAACUCUUACAAAAUAUUGUAUGGGGAUUUGAAUGAUUUUAUUGGAAUGAUUAGGGAAGCUAGUUCAAAACCUAUGAAUUUGUCUGAUGAUAUAGCUCCAAGA
rnacentral:misc_RNA from 1 species